CAUGUUGUGCUCUAAUCAAAAUUUUCGCAUACAUAUUAUAAGCUUGGUGCAACAGAUGCUAACAUCGAGAUGGUUCGUAGAAUCAUUUUAUUGAAAGUAACGGUUUGUUUUCUUUGAUCACUGUCAAACAAAUCCCUUAAGUAUUGUCCUUAAAGAAACUUAAAGGAAAGAAUUGGGCUUGAAAUUCAUUCAAUAUAGUUGGGAAGAUCUACGAAGUAUAAAAAUAAAAGUGAUCAUGGCCGAGGCGCAAGAUACAGACUUGGACAGUUUUGAGACACUAACAAAGAAGAGAGUAUAGGAGACCAGAUUCAAGAGACUUACGGAAGAGGGAUUAUUUCAGAAAAUUUAAUCCAUUGUGAUACAAGUAAGAUAUCAAGUGACAAUGAAGCUUUUACAAAAAAUAGUUCCUGCAUUGUUUCUAACAAUAAACAAGAAGAUGAAAUACGGAGAUUGGAGUUGCAAAUUAUCGAAAAAAAUGAUGAAAGACGGAGAUUUGAGUUGAAAAUUAGCAAAAUAAACGAUGAAAGACGAAGAUUCGAGUUGCAAGUCCGUGAAAUAACAAUGUAAUACAGAGAUUGGAACAAGAA